GCAGAGCCCCCGGAGCCAUGGCCAGCCCUUCCGGCAGCUCCGAAGCCACUGGCAAGCCCCGAGGCAGGGAUGGCCGGCCCAGGAGGGAGGAGGACGACGUGCCUCCCGAGGAGAAGAGGCUGCGGCUGGGGCUGGAGGGGGGAAGCGCACAGCCCGAGGACUGCGAGGACGGGGAGGACGCGCCGCGGCCGGGCAGGGAGGAGACCGGCACCCAGACAGGUGGCGACGGCAGAGGAGAUCUACUGUCCCUGCCAUACAGCCUGGUUGAGGGUCAGGACUACAAGUCUGAAAAUUCAACCCUCCUCCCCGGUGCCAAGAACAGUCUGCAAGACUCCGUUUCGGCAAGUCAGGCUACAGGCAAAG
rnacentral:lncRNA from 1 species